rnacentral:rRNA from 1 species
AAGCAUAUCAAUAAGCGGAGGAAAAGAAACCAACAGGGAUUGCCUCAGUAGCGGCGAGUGAAGCGGCAAAAGCUCAAAUUUGAAAUCUGGCGUCUUUGGCGUCCGAGUUGUAAUUUGAAGAAGGUAUCUUUGGGCCCGGCUCUUGUCUAUGUUCCUUGGAACAGGACGUCACAGAGGGUGAGAAUCCCGUGCGAUGAGAUGACCCGGGUCUGUGUAAAGUUCCUUCGACGAGUCGAGUUGUUUGGGAAUGCAGCUCUAAGUGGGUGGUAAAUUCCAUCUAAAGCUAAAUAUUGGCGAGAGACCGAUAGCGAACAAGUACAGUGAUGGAAAGAUGAAAAGAACUUUGAAAAGAGAGUGAAAAAGUACGUGAAAUUGUUGAAAGGGAAGGGCUUGAGAUCAGACUUGGUAUUUUGCAUGUUGCUCUCUCGGGGGCGGCCGCUGCGGUUUACCGGGCCAGCAUCGGUUUGGAGCGGCAGGAUAAUGGCGGAGGAAUGUGGCACGGCUUCUGCUGUGUGUUAUAGCCUCUGACGAUACUGCCAGCCUAGACCGAGGACUGCGGUUUUUACCUAGGAUGUUGGCAUAAUGAUCUUAAGUCGCCCGUCUUGA